UAACAAAGAAGUAAUAAUAUACAUUUAAUUUCGACUUAAAUUUAGGAAAAUUAUAUUUCCCAUGUUUU
rnacentral:tRNA from 1 species